AAUUAAUCCAGCGAAAAAUGAAGUAAAAGGACGCAGAGUGGCGUGAGAACGACGGUCUCCCGAAAUAUGUGGCGAAGGAUACCACGCAAUCUGCACGUGACGCGCGAACUGCCGGAAUUACUCGCUUCUAACUUAAGCAGCGUGGCAUGUUAGGGUGACCGCACACUAAAGCCGAUGGAGAAAUAAUUGACCUCCAACUGCGAGGUGACGUAAAAAUUAAAUGUGCGCAGACUUUAUUUAGUUUAAUAACCGGACAAGUGUAUAAAUUAUCCGUAUUAAAGUGGAACAAAUUAUCUGUCACGAAAACAACUUGUUUAUUAAUUACAGAAAGAGCUACUGUAAACAUCGUUGUGUAAUUAAUUGAGCCAAGUGUUGUUAAUUUGAUAUUUAUUAUAUGUU